rnacentral:rRNA from 1 species
GAAUCUUCCACAAUGGGCGAAAGCCUGAUGGAGCGACGCCGCGUGAGGGAUGAAGGCCUUAGGGUUGUAAACCUCUAAAAGAGGGACGAUAAUGACGGUACCUCUUGAAUAGCACCGGCUAACUCCGUGCCAGCAGCCGCGGUAAUACGGAGGGUGCAAGCGUUAUCCGGAAUCACUGGGCGUAAAGGGCGCGUAGGCGGUUUGUUAAGUCCGAUGUUAAAUCCCGAGGCUCAACCUCGGAUCAGCGUUGGAUACUGGCAGGCUCGACGGUUGGAGAGGCGAGUGGAAUUACCAGUGUAGCGGUGGAAUGCGUAGAUACUGGUAGGAACACCCAUUGCGAAGGCAGCUCGCUGGACAACACGUGACGCUGAGGCGCGAAAGUGUGGGGAGCAAACCG